rnacentral:rRNA from 1 species
UAGAGUUUGAUCAUGGCUCAGGACGAACGCUGGCGGCGUGCUUAACACAUGCAAGUCGAACGGAAAGGCCCUGCUUUUGUGGGGUGCUCGAGUGGCGAACGGGUGAGUAACACGUGAGUAACCUGCCCUUGACUUUGGGAUAACUUCAGGAAACUGGGGCUAAUACCGGAUAGGAGCUCCUGCUGCAUGGUGGGGGUUGGAAAGUUUCGGCGGUUGGGGAUGGACUCGCGGCUUAUCAGCUUGUUGGUGGGGUAGUGGCUUACCAAGGCUUUGACGGGUAGCCGGCCUGAGAGGGUGACCGGCCACAUUGGGACUGAGAUACGGCCCAGACUCCUACGGGAGSCAGCAGUGGGGAAUAUUGCACAAUGGGCGGAAGCCUGAUGCAGCAACGCCGCGUGCGGGAUGACGGCCUUCGGGUUGUAAACCGCUUUCGCCUGUGACGAAGCGUGAGUGACGGUAAUGGGUAAAGAAGCACCGGCUAACUACGUGCCAGCAGCCGCGGUGAUACGUAGGGUGCGAGCGUUGUCCGGAUUUAUUGGGCGUAAAGGGCUCGUAGGUGGUUGAUCGCGUCGGAAGUGUAAUCUUGGGGCUUAACCCUGAGCGUGCUUUCGAUACGGGUUGACUUGAGGAAGGUAGGGGAGAAUGGAAUUCCUGGUGGAGCGGUGGAAUGCGCAGAUAUCAGGAGGAACACCAGUGGCGAAGGCGGUUCUCUGGGCCUUUCCUGACGCUGAGGAGCGAAAGCGUGGGGAGCGAACAGGCUUAGAUACCCUGGUAGUCCACGCUGUAAACGGUGGGUACUAGGUGUGGGGUCCAUUCCACGGGUUCCGUGCCGUAGCUAACGCUUUAAGUACCCCGCCUGGGGAGUACGGCCGCAAGGCUAAAACUCAAAGGAAUUGACGG